GUUGAAGAAAAGGCAAGAUAGGUAUUCAACAAGCUAAAAGAGUUGCAUUUCAUUUGGAGCCAACUUUUGAAGUCACUUUUGUUUUAAUUGUAAAGACUUUAUGAAUUAUUAUGAACUUAGAUUGUGUUAUGGACUUAAAUUAUGGACUUUUUUUUUUGGAUUGUUAUGAGCUUGUAUGGACUUUUUAAGGAUCUUUUCUAGAUUGUUAUGGAGUAUGGACUUGAAUUGCUAUGAAAUUUUCAUGGAUUAUUAUUA